rnacentral:rRNA from 1 species
AUGACAUCAAGCAGCGGGGAGGAGCCUCGUACCUCAUCCAUUGUGGCGGAUGCUAAUCCAAUGGUGAGCAUGGAAGCCAAGAUGCUUGUGGCGACAGGCCAUGAUCAUUGCCAGGAGUUGAAGGAUAUGAUCAGCAAGGCGGAUCCUUCGACCAUGGUAGUGGUGAUGGCCUCCAGCAACCAGACUUCCGCACCGAAGCCUCGCUCGCCGGUCAUGGAUCCCUGGCUGCUAGCAGCGGCCUACUCUGGCUCGUGGCAGAAACUGCAAUCAUUCCUAUGCAGCCAGCUUCUGGAGACGUAG